AUACGUAUGGUGCAAGCGUUAUCCGGAUUUACUGGGUGUAAAGGGAGCGCAGGCGGCGCGGCAAGUCUGGUGUGAAAGCCCGGGGCUCAACCCCGGUACUGCAUUGGAAACUGUCGUGCUAGAGUGUCGGAGGGGCAGGCGGAAUUCCUAGUGUAGCGGUGAAAUGCGUAGAUAUUAGGAGGAACACCGGUGGCGAAGGCGGCCUGCUGGACGAUGACUGACGCUGAGGCUCGAAAGCGUGGGGAGC
rnacentral:rRNA from 1 species